GUGAUACAGUAGAUUUAAAAUGAAAAACACACUUUCGAAACAGUUCAACCAAUCCCAGAAUGUCCCCAAAUGAGGGGUGAGAGUACCGAAGAAUUUUAUAAAACAAUGGAUCCAAACGACAUCAAGAAAAUGUUUGAACAGUUGAUAAGUGCAUAACAGGAAGAGGCAGAGCGACAGAAUGCAAGGGAUACUCAUUAUCAGACCUGGUUAUUCCACUUCAGAGUUGCAGUGGUCCAGAGAUUAUCCUGAUAACAUUGAGAACAAGAUCACGAAGCGGAAGCGGAAGUAGAAGCAGACAAUGGC